UACGUAGGGUGCAGGCGUUCAUCGGAAUUACUGGGCGUAAAGGGCGCGUAGGCGGCCUGUUAAGUCGAACGUGAAAUCCCUGGGCUCAACCCAGGAACUGCGUCCGAUACUGGCAGGCUUGAAUCCGGGAGAGGGAUGUGGAAUUCCAGGUGUAGCGGUGAAAUGCGUAGAUAUCUGGAGGAACACCGGUGGCGAAGGCGGCAUCCUGGACCGGUAUUGACGCUGAGGCGCGAAAGCCAGGGGAGCAAACGGG
rnacentral:rRNA from 1 species